rnacentral:miRNA from 1 species
UACAUUCAUUGAUGUCGUUGGGU